AAGGGUCUGUUCUAUACGUUAUGAGUUAAGUUAAGUUUCCCGAGCGAUAAUUUUCUAGUCAAGGGAAUUGCCUCUAUUAAUUUCACUGAAAUUAAUACGUGAUGCCCACCUUAACUUUAGGUCUCAGGAAUCUACUAAGACUGACGGUAGAUACGGAUCCCAU
rnacentral:other from 1 species